rnacentral:siRNA from 1 species
CCAUUAUCGAUUUGCUACUAUGGC